rnacentral:tRNA from 1 species
UCCGCAGUAGCUCAAUGGUAGAGCAUUCGGCUGUUAACCGAAGGGUUGUAAGUUCGAAUCUUACCUGCGGAG